rnacentral:rRNA from 1 species
CGUACACUCCUACGGGAGGCAGCAGUGGGGAAUAUUGGACAAUGGGCGCAAGCCUGAUCCAGCCAUGCCGCGUGAGUGAUGAAGGCCCUAGGGUUGUAAAGCUCUUUCACCGGUGAAGAUAAUGACGGUAACCGGAGAAGAAGCCCCGGCUAACUUCGUGCCAGCAGCCGCGGUAAUACGAAGGGGGCUAGCGUUGUUCGGAUUUACUGGGCGUAAAGCGCACGUAGGCGGACUAUCAAGUCAGGGGUGAAAUCCCGGGGCUCAACCCCGGAACUGCCUUUGAUACUGGUAGUCUUGAGUUCGAGAGAGGUGAGUGGAAUUCCGAGUGUAGAGGUGAAAUUCGUAGAUAUUCGGAGGAACACCAGUGGCGAAGGCGGCUCACUGGCUCGAUACUGACGCUGAGGUGCGAAAGCGUGGGGAGCAAACAGGAUUAGAAACCCUUGUAGUCCC